UACGUAGGGGGGCAAGCGUUUGUCCGGAAUCAUUGGGCGUAAAGAGCGUGUAGGCGGCUCGGUAAGUCCGCUGUGAAAGUCCAGGGCUCAACCCUGGAAUGCCGGUGGAAACUGUCGAGCUAGAGUCCGGAAGAGGCGAGUGGAAUUCCUGGUGUAGCGGUGAAAUGCGCAGAUAUCAGGAGGAACACCAAUGGCGAAGGCAGCUCGCUGGGACGGUACUGACGCUGAGACGCGAAAGCGUGGGGAGCAAACAGG
rnacentral:rRNA from 1 species